CUUUAAUUCUAUACCUGGCUAUCAUGCUCCAAAAUUGCAACAAAAUGAAGUGAGGGUGAGUGAGACCAAAGUCCCAGUGAAUGGAUAAUCCAUCUAACAAUGAAAAAAUAAGAAAAAUUAUUUAUGAUGCUCAUAAUAACAUACAUCAUAUACUACUGAUAUGCUUUCAAAUCUUUUGUAUGCUAAAUAAGAAUAAACCAUAUAAAAGAUCAUUUUAAAGAAAAAUAACUAGCUACC
rnacentral:lncRNA from 1 species